CGUAUCUUCCGCGACACGAUUCAGGACACGUCGUGUUCGCCGUCUCGGUCCUCGUACCCCGCAAUCUCCCAUCGCCGCCGGAUCCGGGAACGUGUACGGGAUCCCUCCCCUUUCCGAACGUCCUGUACGCCCGGGAAUCCGCCGCCUGCCGAAUAGGCCGCCGCAGAACGUACGGGUGGUGGACCGACCGAAGAACGGUAUAAACCAUCGCGGUGUUCUAUACAGAUAAACGCGGUAUAAACUGUAAAACGACCGGUUCUAUGUAAGCACGAACCCAGACAUACUAACUAUUACAGGACUGGAAACGCAUGUUGAUAACGGGAUCGACUUAGUGUUACCGAUGAACGGGACUCAGGAAUAUUUGAGCUUUAAGCGAUACUGGCACUUGUUGUGAGUUGCGACCGUUCUUUUAAACAAUACAUUUAAAUAAUAUUUUUGUCGUUGAACACCAUGGAUGGAAAAAUACCUGCAAAUGUCAUAAGAAUUUUUAUAUGUAGCAACAAAUACCAAAUCAACUUAUUUCUAGACUUGUAGCGCUUGUAUGACGGUACGGGUGAAUAUUCAAUUAAGAAACUAAAGAUACCGGCGAUUAAACCCUCACGUUUGAUAUCACACUAGCCAAAUAUAAAUCUACGUAGAGCUCGA